GACGAACGCUGGCGGCGUGCUUAACACAUGCAAGUCGAGCGGUAAGGCCCUUUCGGGGUACGACGAGCGGCGAACGGGUAGGAGUAACACGUGGGUGGACCUGCCCUCCAGCUCUGGGAGUAAGACCUCGGGAAACCGGGGUACUAAUAACCGGAUAUGACUCCAUGACGCAUGUUGUGGGGUGGAAAGCCUUGUGCGGCUGAGGAUGGGCCCGCGGCCUAUCAGCUUGUUGGUGGGGUGANGGCCUACCAAGGCGACGACGGGUAGCCGGCCU
rnacentral:rRNA from 1 species